rnacentral:rRNA from 1 species
GUACAUUCCUACGGGAGGCAGCAGUGGGGAAUUUUGGACAAUGGGCGAAAGCCUGAUCCAGCCAUGCCGCGUGCAGGAUGAAGGCCUUCGGGUUGUAAACUGCUUUUGUACGGAACGAAACGGCCGUUUCUAAUAAAGAGGGCUAAUGACGGUACCGUAAGAAUAAGCACCGGCUAACUACGUGCCAGCAGCCGCGGUAAUACGGAGGGUGCAAGCGUUAAUCGGAAUUACUGGGCGUAAAGCGUGCGCAGGCGGUUAUGUAAGACAGUUGUGAAAUCCCCGGGCUCAACCUGGGAACUGCAUCUGUGACUGCAUAGCUAGAGUACGGUAGAGGGGGAUGGAAUUCCGCGUGUAGCAGUGAAAUGCGUAGAUAUGCGGAGGAACACCGAUGGCGAAGGCAAUCCCCUGGACCUGUACUGACGCUCAUGCACGAAAGCGUGGGGAGCAAACAGGAUUAGAAACCCUGGUAGUCC